rnacentral:rRNA from 1 species
AACGAACGCUGGCGGCAAGCCUAACACAUACAAGUCGAGCGCGCCCUUCGGGGUGAGCGGCGGACGGGUGAGUAACGCGUGGGAACGUGCCCUUUUCUACGGAAUAGCCUCGGGAAACUGAGAGUAAUACCGUAUACGCCCUUUGGGGGAAAGAUUUAUCGGAAAAGGAUCGGCCCGCGUUGGAUUAGGUAGUUGGUGGGGUAAUGGCCUACCAAGCCGACGAUCCAUAGCUGGUUUGAGAGGAUGAUCAGCCACACUGGGACUGAGACACGGCCCAGACUCCUACGGGAGGCAGCAGUGGGGAAUCUUAGACAAUGGGGGCAACCCUGAUCUAGCCAUGCCGCGUGAGUGAUGAAGGCCUUAGGGUUGUAAAGCUCUUUCAGCUGGGAAGAUAAUGACGGUACCAGCAGAAGAAGCCCCGGCUAACUCCGUG